CCUACGGGAGGCAGCAGUGGGGAAUAUUGGGCAAUGGGCGCAAGCCUGACCCAGCAACGCCGCGUGAAGGAAGAAGGCUUUCGGGUUGUAAACUUCUUUUGUCAGGGAAGAGUAGAAGACGGUACCUGACGAAUAAGCCACGGCUAACUACGUGCCAGCAGCCGCGGUAAUACGUAGGUGGCAAGCGUUGUCCGGAUUUACUGGGUGUAAAGGGCGUGUAGCCGGGUUGACAAGUCAGAUGUGAAAUCCUGCGGCUUAACCGGAGAACUGCAUGUGAAACUGUUGAUCUUGAGUACUGGAGAGGCAGACGGAAUUCCUAGUGUAGCGGUGAAAUGCGUAGAUAUUAGGAGGAACACCAGUGGCGAAGGCGGUCUGCUGGACAGCAACUGACGGUGAGGCGCGAAAGCGUGGGGAGCAAACAGGAUUAGAUACCCCAGUAGUC
rnacentral:rRNA from 1 species